rnacentral:misc_RNA from 1 species
GAUGAAGAACGUAGCGAAAUGCGAUAAGUAGUGUGAAUUGCAGAAUUCAGUGAAUCAUCGAAUCUUUGAACGCACAUUGCGCCCGCCAGUAUUCUGGCGGGCAUGCCUGUUCGAGCGUCAUUUCAACCAUCAAGCCCCAGGCUUGUGUUGGGGACCUGCGGCUGCCGCAGGCCCUGAAAACCAGUGGCGGGCUCGCUGUCACACCGGGCGUAGUAGAUUUUAUCUCGCUCAGGGCGUGCUGCGGGUCCCGGCCGUUAAAAGCCUUUUUUUACCCAAGGUUGACCUCGGAUCAGGUAGGAAGACCCGCUGAACUUAAGCAUAUCAAUAAGCGGAGGA